UAAAGUUGUUCUCUUGUACUGGAUCCAUUUUGAGACGACAGAGCAGAAAACACUAUAUGGAGAUUAUUGAAAAAUAAAGUCUCGUGAAGAGGGCACGACAAAGCCUAUUCCCCCUCAGGAAACUGCCUCUAAAAUGAGUCUCUCUGGUGAGAGAGAGGAGGGGGGCCCUACCUCUAAAAUUAGUCUCUCUCGGGGACAUGAAAAGAAAACUAAGAGCCCAAUCAAGCAGGAGAGACCAGCCUCCCCUGUACCCAGCUGUCUGUCCAUGAAGAGUGACCAGUCUAUGAAACCUCCUAUAAAGUUUAGAGAGGGAGAAUUUUCUCCAGAACAAAGGUAAGAAGACCUCAUGGGUCAUGGUCAGUGAGUUAAACAACACUGUCUCUAGUCAUUUCUCCUCUCCCAUCUUGUAACGAUUGUCUACUUCGUCCUCCUCCUCGGACGAGGAGAGACGAGAAGGAUCUGAGGACCAAUACGCAGCGAGAUAGUUUUCCGACAUAAUGAUAUUUAUUAAAGUAAAACGAAACACGAAAACACUAUAACAGACUACAAAACAAAUAAACGAUGUAGACAGACCUGAACUAACGAACUUAUAACGUGAAGAACGCACGAAACAGGUACAGACUACAAAACAAACGAACGAACGAACUGACAAACAAACCGAAACAGUCCCGUAUGGUGCGACAAACACAGACACAGGAGACAACCACCCACAACAAUCAAUGUGAAAACACCUACCUUAAUAUGGCUCUCAAUCAGAGGAAAUGAAAACCACCUGCCUCUAAUUGAGAGCCAUAUCAGGUCACCCUUUAACAAACAUAGAAACACAUAACAUAGACUACCCACCCAAACUCACUCCCUGACCGUCAAACACAUACAAAAUAACAGAAAACCGGUCAGGAAAGUGACAUAACCCCCCCCUCAAGGUGCGUACUCCGAACGCACCACCAAAAGUCUAGGGGAGGGUCUGGGUGGGCGUCUGACCACGGUGGUGGCUCAGGCUCUGGGCGAGGUCCCCACCCCACCAUAGUCAAUCCCAGCUUACGUCUCCCCCUUAGAAUGACCACCCUCAUUUUACACCCACUUAAUUUAACUGGUAACCUUAAGAUAAGGGGCAG